GGGUGUCAGCUGCAUGUCGCAGCGGGCAGGUUCAUGCGUCGGUCGGGCCGCCACG
rnacentral:ncRNA from 12 species